UGAGUAAAUCAGAUGGUCGCAGGCAUAAAUUCCGAAAGGAAGUGCUUGAGGAACGUCCGAGCUCCAUAGAGCAGGAUGCUGGAUAACGUCCAGUAGAGGCGACUCUAAGGAAAGUGCAACAGAAAUAAACCGCCUAUAAAUUUUAUAGGUAAGGGUGGAAAGGUGAAGUAAGAGAUCACCGCAUCUUAGGUGACUAAGAUGGCAAUGCAAACCCCAUUUGGAGCAAGACCGUAUAGGGAAUAUAUAAGUAGUUGCUCGCUACAUUCCCGUGGUAGGUCGCUGGAGCAUAUAGGUAACUAUAUGCCAAGAUAGAUGACUGUCAAAUACAGAACUCGGCGUAUAGAUUUGCUCACAUU
rnacentral:RNase_P_RNA from 1 species